rnacentral:lncRNA from 8 species
CGGCUCCAGCCAUGGAGCUGGGUUGGCCGCCGUGCCUGGACUGGGCACCGGCACAGAGGAAGGCUCCGGCUUUGGAGCGGGACUGGACACCGGGCCUGGACUUGGCACCGGCGCAGAGGAAGGCUCCGGCCAUGGAGCUGGGUUGGCCGCCAUGCCUGGACUGGGCACCGGCGCAGAGGAAGGCUCCGGCAUUGGAGUGGGACUGGACGCCGUGCCUGGACUGGGCACCGGCGCAGAGGAAGGCUCCGGCAUUGGAGUGGGACUGGACGCCGUGCCUGGACUGGGCACCGGCGCAGAGGAAGGCUCCGGCAUUGGAGUGGGACUGGACGCCGUGCCUGGACUGGGCACCGGCGCAGAGGAAGGCUCCUGCCAUGGAGCGGGACUGGACACCGUGCCUGGACUGGGCACCGGCACAGAGGGAGGCUCCUGCCAGGGAGCAGGACUGGACACCAUGCCUGGACUGGGCAUCGGCGCAGGUUGCACCGGACUGAUGACUCUCUCCUCAGGUCAAGUGCGUGGAGCCGGCACAGGACGCUCCGGGCUGGAGAGGCGCACUGGAGGCCUAGUGCGUGGAUCCGGUACAGGUGGCACCGGACUGUUGACACGCACUUCAGGGCGAGUGCGGGGAGCUGGCACAGGACGUACCGGACUGGGGAGGUGCACUGGAGGCCUGAUGCGUGGAGCCAGCACAGGUGGCACCGGACUGGUGACACGCACUUCAGGGCGAGUGCGGGGAGCUGGCACAGGACGUACCGGACUGGGGAGGCGCACUGGAGGCCUGGUGCGUGGAGCCGGCACAGGUGGCACCGGACUGGUGACAUGCACUUCAGGGCGAGUGCAGGGAGCUGGCACAGGACAUACCGGACUGGGGAGGCGCACUGGCGGCCUGGUGCGUGGAGCCGGCACAGGUGGCACCGGACUGGUGACACGCACUUCAGGAAGGGUGUGGGGAGCUGGCACAGGACUCACCAGACUGCUGACAGGCUCUUCAGGUCAAAUUCCGUGCAGAACACACCUACAUAACAUUUCUCUCCUCUCUCUCUCCCAACUUCUCCAUCGCCUCCCUGACGGUCUCUGGCUCUUCAGGGUGAGUGUGGGGAGCUGGCACAGAUGGCACCGGACUGGUGUCACGCUCUUCAGCACGCCUGCGCUGCAGCAUACUCCUCGCCAAAGUCAUUCUCCGAUAUCCCUCCUCACACUGCUCCAUCGACUCCCAGGCAGGCUCUGGCUCUCUCCUUGACUCGGCCAACCACCCCUCGUGCCCCCCCCCCCCCAAAAAAAAAUCUUGGUGUUUCUGUGGCCGCGGUCCCUGGCGUUGUCGCUGUCCCCCUAUGCUCCUUGGCGACUCCUGCCAAGGAAGGGUCUCGUGUCCUCCCAUGAUU